GUUGCGGUGGCCGAGCGGUUAAGGCGUUGGACUGGCGGGCAGGUUCGAGUCCUGCCCGCAACG
rnacentral:tRNA from 1 species